CGCAGCGACUGCGGACGACAUUACCGAGUUUUCGGGCUUCGGCUCGACUCUCCCACCCUUUGUGAACGUACCUCUGUUGCUUUGGCGGCUCCGGCCGCCAAAGGACCUCCAAACUCCAGUCAGUAAACGCAGACGUCUGAUAAACAAGUUAAUAAACUAAAACUUUCAACAACGGAUCUCUUGGUUCUGGCAUCGAUGAAGAACGCAGCGAAAUGCGAUAAGUAAUGUGAAUUGCAGAAUUCAGUGAAUCAUCGAAUCUUUGAACGCACAUUGCGCCCCUUGGUAUUCCGGGGGGCAUGCCUGUUCGAGCGUCAUUACAACCCUCAAGCUCUGCUUGGAAUUGGGCACCGUCCUCACUGCGGACGCGCCUCAAAGACCUCGGCGGUGGCUGUUCAGCCCUCAAGCGUAGUAGAAUACACCUCGCUUUGGAGUGGUUGGCGUCGCCCGCCGGACGAACCUUCUGAACUUUUCUCAAGGUUGACCUCGGAUCAGGUAGGGAUACCCGCUGAACUUAAGCAUAUCU
rnacentral:rRNA from 1 species